AGUUAACCAUUACAAAUUAUAUAGAGUAGCGACUGUAUAGUUUUUUAUUGAGGUUAACGUUUAUACGUAGUGUAGUAGUUAAAGUUCUCCCAAGGAUACUACUCGGAGUACACUUUGCUAAUGGCAGAGUGUACUUU
rnacentral:sRNA from 1 species